AUUUGUUACAUAUAUUUUACAGUUAUUUAUAAUAAAGUUCACAUUUAAACUGUCAAACACCAAGCCUCAAUUACUUUUCUUUGUCAUAAGGGUUUGAUAAAGAAAAGUUAGGAAUAAUUACCAGUUUCUGCGUACGUAUCGACAGUUAUAUAUCGGUCAAAAUUUUUUACUCUCUAAAAUCUGUAUCCUAUCAGCCCCCCCAAAAAUUCAUAUUGUUCAGGCUCUAAUGCAAACACACACAAACACACUCCACGCGGCUCUGCUUGUGCUUGUCUGAACAGAGUGCAGA